AUGUGCAAAUUAGUGCAAGCUGGAGCGGUUGGUUUUAGAGUUGGCACUGAGAACCAGCAGGGUUUGCUCCGUGCACCUCGCUGCGUCUCUGGAUCCACCCUGCUGAUUCUGCUGCUGGCCUGAUGGGUUGCUAGGUACAUUCAGAGUCAGGCCGCGGUGCUGGUUUGAAAGUGGUGGUUAGUUUCUAGUCCGCUGGUGGCGAGCAAUCUUCGAACUGGUUGAAGCCAGUUAACUCGUUUGUUUCAAAUAGUGGACAAGGACUGCGGAGGAAGUCGGAGGAGAGAGAGAGAGAUAGAAGGUCCGGAGGGAAACGCGGUGACCGCGGGUUGUAGCAAAAGUAAUCGGCGCGUCUAGGUUUUCAUUUUCAGGUUGGAAAAUAAUCAGAAAUGGGACGACGGUGGCAGGUAGAAAUGGCGACGUUGAUGAGGAUAAUGGAGAAUCUCGUAACUUGAUAGGGUCUGAUCUCACGACAGGAGGAGGAGAAGGAGCGGGGUCUUUUGCCGCCGAUUUUCGAAUACUUGCGAAUUGUACCUACAUCCACAACCAUGCCGGAUCAUGGUCGCCUUGUCGCUCUAUUCUUCAUCUUUUCUUUGAUAUCGUGUCCCGUUCACGCUUUGACAGAGCUUGAACGGGCGAAAAGCAUGCUGCUGCAGAAGGAGACGGACCUCAGUAUCUUAGUUUCGCAGGUCCAGAAAAAUCACGAUGCCGUUCAACAGAAUUGUGAUUCGCUAAAAAAUUGUGGUGAGGGUCCUGCCUGCUCUCGAUUAUCUUGUUUCAGCUAUUCCGGAACUUCCAGGUUGGACGACUACAAAUGCCAUCAUGUUUAUAACAACUCCUUCUGCCCAGUGGGCGGUGGGCCUUGCCAGUACAGGAACUUCGACUUCAGCCAAAGUUUUGUGAGGCGCGUCGUCGAUGACCCGGGUUCCAGACAAUCAAUAUGUGCGCAGAAGAAGUUGCAUAAUUACAUGACGAAAAUGUCGAAUGAUACGCAUUUCUUUCAAGCUUACUACGGAGCUAUUGAUGGCUCUUUCCGCUACUUCCCGGGAGCGGAUGAAGUGUCUUGCGAGCAGAUCUAUGAUCCAAGGAUCAGGCCAUGGUUCCGUGAAUCAAUACAUGCAAAGAAAUCUGUCGUUGUGUUGAUAAAUACUGGCUCCACGAUGACAGAUAACAUCAAUGCACAAAAUUUUACUUUGUUGGACAAGGUAAAGGAAAAGUUGAGCUCAACUUUUCCGAGAACCCUAUCAGGGAAGGACAAGAUAACCUUCAUGACGUUCAACUACAGUGGAUCUUACCGCUUAAAUCCGGAUCCGUAUGUUGUGGGGUCGGAUGCUAAUACUCCAAAUGGUGAUUCCACCGUCGAGAAAUUAAAGAAUAUAGUGUACACUCCAGAUUUGGGGAUAUCUCUCACAGAUCCCACUGAAGUGAAUGCUACGAAUUCAAUUAAUGGCGCCAUCGACCUGCUAAGUAAAGACGAUCCUCAAUAUUUCAAGGUCAUACUGAUGUUCACUACUGGCAGCGUCCGCAUUCCGCCGAACAUCACGUUGGACUCGAGUGUAAGAUUGUUCAUUUACAAUCUGGACACCGGCAGCAACCAGAGUCCGAAUGAGUGUUCCGUCGAUAGAGUGCAUUUUGAAGAUCUCAACUACGUUGCUUUCGAUAAGAAUAUUCUAUUUGCCUUACGGGCAUACUUUUCGUGGUUUGGCAACAUCCAUCGGCUGAUAAUGAAUUCAUCUAAGGAUUAUAGUGAACAAUACUCGGAUUACAGUGGAGUCGACGUAAACACAUUCACACUGAGCGUACCAGGUACGCAACAUCCAAGUCUCGUUUUCGCGUUGACUGGGAACCAGCUUCUCGGUGUUGUCGGCGUGGAUAUCUUCAAAACUGAAACUGCGAAUGACUACGGUUUCAGAGACCCGACCACGCUGACAGCCGCUGUCACUGGACGCUACAACCAGUCGACUAGCACCUCCGAUGGUUACGAUGCGUCCACGAUGAUCAACGUGCCCAGCGUGUGCUACACUCCGUACACCAUCUGCGCAGACUCCAUAAUCGACGAAAACAACAUAUGCCUACCCAAUCCCGAAAAUCACGACAUGAAAGUCAGCUGCUGCGGAGCCUGCAGCCCAAAGAAAAACUCCCUGCCCAUUCGCUUAAUCGCCGGUUUGACAGCCGGUGGAGUGAUCACAAUAGCGUUCUUGGCAUGCUUGUGUUGCUUCUGUCAGAGGCAGAUCGAAGAGAAAAAGCGAAAUAAAGCUAUUAGAGAUAUACGUAUUUUUGAGCCACCUGCAGGAGCGGGUGCACGAUCCACUGGCACUGAGGACCCCCCUACGGGCACAGCUCCCCAUUCGCGGAGACACGCCGCGGCCGCCAUUACCUCCGAGACCUAGAGCCUACGUCCCAAGCCCCAACAACAGUGUCGGUGUCGGUGGUGUUCAUGAAUCAUGGCUCACCGACUAGGUGAUGAUGCCUCUCCGAGCAAGUAUCGGCAGCACUUUGCUGAAAUGUGUUGUUUAGUCUCAGAAGUUCUUUGAUUCUUUGUGGAGUAAAAAAAGCUAUAAGGUUAAUGAGAAGUGAUGGAUUCCCAACAAUCGCACAUUUACGCACUUCGUAAAUAGGUCAGGCGAUCUCUGUCAUGUGCCUUGUUUUAUGAUUUUUUGUCAGAAUCGUUGAUAGAUUUCAUUUAAUUAAAAAGUUUGUUCAAUAAGAUGACCAAGCAGCCAUUUUAUGUGUCUCUCAAUACUAACUAAAACCUGAUUUAUUUACUCAGAUGCAGUGUUUAGGAUAUCAUUAAAUAUGAUGGUGAGUUUUAAUUUUACCGAUUAAUUCCGAACAUCUUGAUGUAUGUUCUGAUAUAAAAUUUGUUGUUCUCCGAA